CCUACGGGGGGCAGCAGUGAGGAAUAUUGGUCAAUGGACGAGAGUCUGAACCAGCCAAGUAGCGUGAAGGAUGACUGCCCUAUGGGUUGUAAACUUCGUUUAUAUGGGAAUAAAAUGUUCCACGUGUGGGAUUUUGUAUGUACCAUAUGAAUAAGGAUCGGCUAACUCCGUGCCAGCAGCCGCGGUAAUACGGAGGAUCCGAGCGUUAUCCGGUUUUAUUGGGUUUAAAGGGAGCGUAGGUGGAUUGUUAAGUCAGUUGUGAAAGUUUGCGGCUCAACCGUAAAAUUGCAGUUGAAACUGGCAGUCUUGAGUACAGUAGAGGUGGGCGGAAUUCGUGGUGUAGCGGUGAAAUGCUUAGAUAUCACGAAGAACUCCGAUUGCGAAGGCAGUUCACUGGACUGCAACUGACACUGAGGCUCGAAAGUGUGGGUAUCAAACAGGAUUAGAUACCCCAGUAGUC
rnacentral:rRNA from 1 species